CUCGGGGAUAAACACAUCACUUCGAAGGCGGAGUGAAGUCGAUUCAGGGGUAGGGGAGCGUUGUAUACAGCAUUGAAGGUGUACCGUAAGGAGCGCUGGAGCGUAUACAAGUGAGAAUGC
rnacentral:rRNA from 1 species